UACGUAGGGGGGCAAGCGUUGUCCGGAUUCAUUGGGCGUAAAGAGCGUGUAGGCGGCCAGGUAGGUCGGUUGUGAAAACUGGAGGCUCAACCUUCAGAGGUCGACCGAAACCAUCUGGCUAGAGUCCGGGAGAGGAGAGUGGAAUUCCUGGUGUAGCGGUGAAAUGCGCAGAUAUCAGGAGGAACACCAAUGGCGAAGGCAGCUCGCUGGGACGGUACUGACGCUGAGGCGCGAAAGACGUGGGGAGCAAACAGG
rnacentral:rRNA from 1 species